rnacentral:rRNA from 1 species
GAUGAACGCUGGCGGCGUGCCUAAUACAUGCAAGUCGAGCGAACAGACGAGGAGCUUGCUCCUCUGACGUUAGCGGCGGACGGGUGAGUAACACGUGGAUAACCUACCUAUAAGACUGGGAUAACUUCUGGAAACCGGAGCUAAUACCGGAUAAUAUAUUGAACCGCAUGGUUCAAUAGUGAAAGACGGUUUUGCUGUCACUUAUAGAUGGAUCCGCGCCGCAUUAGCUAGUUGGUAAGGUAACGGCUUACCAAGGCGACGAUGCGUAGCCGACCUGAGAGUGAGAUCGGCCACACGGGAACUGAGACACGGUCCAGACUCCUACGGGAGGCAGCAGUAGGGAAUCUUCCGCAAUGGGCGAAAGCCUGACGGAGCAACGCCGCGUGAGUGAUGAAGGUCUUCGGAUCGUAAAACUCUGUUAUUAGGGAAGAACAAAUGUGUAAGUAACUAUGCACGUCUUGACGGUACCUAAUCAGAAAGCCACGGCUAACUACGUG